UACGGAGGUGCAAGCGUUAUCCGGAUUCACUGGGUUAAAGGGUGCGUAGGUGGGUCUGUAAGUCAGUGGUGAAAUCUCCGAGCUUAACUUGGAAACUGCCAUUGAUACUAUAGAUCUUGAAUAUUGUGGAGGUCAGCGGAAUAUGUCAUGUAGCGGUGAAAUGCUUAGAUAUGACAUAGAACACCAAAUUGCGAAGGCAGCUGGCUACACAUAUAU
rnacentral:rRNA from 1 species